rnacentral:rRNA from 1 species
CACGUAGGAGGCGAGCGUUGUCCGGAAUCAUUGGGCGUAAAGAGCGCGCAGGCGGCUCGGUAAGUCGGUUGUGAAAUCCCGGGGCUCAACCCCGGGACUGCGUCCGAUACUAUCGAGCUAGAGGUAGGUAGGGGAGAUCGGAAUUCCUGGUGUAGCGGUGAAAUGCGCAGAUAUCAGGAGGAACACCGGUGGCGAAGGCGGAUCUCUGGGCCUUACCUGACGCUCAGGCGCGAAAGCUAGGGGAGCGAACAGG